AGAAUCAACGCUGGCGGCGUGCCUAACACAUGCAAGUCGAACGAGAAAGUGGAGCAAUCCAUGAGUAAAGUGGCGACCGGGUGAGUAACACGUGACUAACCUACCUUCGAGUGGGGGAUAACCUCGGGAAACCGAGGCUAAUACCGCAUAACAUCGCAAGAUCAAAGCAGCAAUGCGCUGGAAGAGGGGUCGCGGCUGAUUAGCUAGUUGGCGGGUAACGCCCACCAAGGCGAAGAUCGGUA
rnacentral:rRNA from 1 species